rnacentral:rRNA from 1 species
UACAGAGGUCCCAAGCGUUGUUCGGAUUCAUUGGGCGUAAAGGGUGCGUAGGCGGCGCGGUAAGUCGGGUGUGAAAUCUCGGAGCUUAACUCCGAAACUGCAUUCGAUACUGCCGUGCUUGAGGACUGGAGAGGAGACUGGAAUUUACGGUGUAGCGGUGAAAUGCGUAGAUAUCGUAAGGAAGACCAGUGGCGAAGGCGGGUCUCGUGGACAGUUCCUGACGCUGAGGCACGAAGGCCAGGGGAGCGAACGGG